UUUCGUGUAUGCGCCGACUUCUCCAGACAGUGGACUCUUAGUCUCCACAACCUCAACCACAACAUUAGCCGUCCCAGGAAGCUCCGGAGGGCCCGAAUCAAGCGUGAUCUUAACCGAAUCAAAGACAUCAAGCGCCUGCAACCUGAAAUUCACUACUUUCGAAGCCUCCAGCAAAUCUUGCAUCGACGAAACGUCUUUAAGCAAAGCCGUUUGAGCUUCAAUUAAGGAAUCCUUGGUCUUGGUGUUGCCCUUGAUGAUAACAUCGUGGACACGAAGCGGCACCGUUUCAGUCUGUAUCCGACGGAAGAGAUUCUCUACCUUCGCCCGCUCUCUUCGUGCUCGAGACUCUAGGGUUCGAGAAUUUGGCAGUUCGGGUUGGAUGUCCUCUUCGAGGUCUUCUUUUUCGUCUUCUUCUCCUUCGUCUUCUUCUCCUUCCUCGUCUUCUUCGUCAAUGUCUUCCUCGCCAUUGCUAGGGUUUCCUGAGAUGGAUUCGAGUUCAACUGCCAUUGAAAUGGAAGACGAGAGAGACGGCGACUUGUACGAUAAGCACUGUAUUGAAAC
rnacentral:misc_RNA from 1 species